ensembl:lncRNA
UGCAGCUGCUGUCCUGCGGGAAAGCAACCUAUUUGAGAUGGCAGGUCAUAUGAUCGGCCAUUCUUUCCUGCAUGGUGGGUCCAGCUUCUCUGGACUCAGUUUGCCUGUGGUGACCCUAUUGACUGGUGAGAGCAUCGACACUGCAGCAUCAGCUCUGACGCUGGAGGACUGUCCUGAUAUUGACCAUCGUGAAACAGUUGGUUUGCUGAAGAAUGCUGAACUUACUGCAGAAGAACACACCAAAGUGACUGAUCUUUGCCUGUCCUGGGAUCUUCCAUUUCCAAACUCCACCAAUCGUGUCUGGCUGUUCCAGGAAUUGCUUUCACAUGCAGUAAUUAUUUUUAUAAAUUACUUUCUUAGUAUUUAUAUUGGAGGUUGGCCGUGUAACUCAUGUUACAUCUGUGCCUACGGUCUCUUUCCUAUAAAAUAGUGUAAAUGUUACCUUCUGUCCUGUCAAUUCUGUCUGCAGGUACUUCACCGUGUUAAACAGCCAAUUAAACAAAUACGGAAAGGCCUUAAACAAACAGGAAUCUGGCCACUUCUUUCAGAUAGGCCAGAUGUCCACCCCUUAAUUUUCCCAAGGGAGUCAACUGAGGAGCUUAACCCACAGGUAAACAGGAUUCACACUACAUGAUUUUUAGCCCGAUUUGCUGCUCGGCGACUGUCAGGCUGUGAUCGGGAGUAAAUCAGUGAUUGAUCGGCGGUCGCCAGUCAUUAUGUGUGAACUACUCAACUCAUCAAAACGGUCCCCCGACAACAGCCAGAUAUCUAGCAUGAGAAAUAUCUGUAGAACUUGGCCGACUCGACAUCCAGCCAAUUUUAGCCAUUAAUGAUUUUAUUUUUGCAAAGACUGUGUGUAGUUUUGUUUGGUGUCACAGGGGUGUGUACAUCUAAAAUGAAUGGUUUAUUUUAGUCAUGUUAAAGUUGUGUUACUUACGUGACAUAAAUAGAUUGUUCAUUCAUAAAAAGAUCACUACAAUUUUGAGAUCACUUUGCAACAUUUAAUAAAAGUUUCAAUCCUUACA